AUUGAACGCUAGCGGCAUGCCUAACACAUGCAAGUCGAACGAGUGGCGGACGGGUGAGUAAUGUCUGGGCAACUGCCCAAUGGAGUGGGAUAACUACUGGAAACGGUCGCUAAUACCGCAUACCAUCUGAUGUGCCCCUAUGGGAUUAUCUAGUUGGUGUGGUAAAGGCUCACCUAGGCGACGAUCCCUAGCUGGUCUGAGAGGAUGACCAGCCAAACUGGAACUGAGACACGGUCCAGACUCCUACGGGAGGCAGCAGUGGGGAAUAGUGCACAAUGGGCGAAAGCCUGAUGCAGCCAUGCCGCGUGUAUGAAGAAGGCCUUCGGGGUGUAAAGUACUUUCAGCGGGGAGGCGUUAACCGCAGAAGAAGCACCGGCUAACUCCGUGCCAGCAGCCGCGGUAAUAC
rnacentral:rRNA from 1 species